rnacentral:rRNA from 1 species
UACGGGGGGAGCAAGCGUUGUUCGGAUUUACUGGGCGUAAAGGGCGCGUAGGCGGCGUGGUAAGUCACUUGUGAAAUCUCCGGGCUUAACUCGGAACGGUCAAGUGAUACUGCUGUGCUAGAGUGCGGAAGGGGCAACUGGAAUUCCCGGUGUAGCGGUGAAAUGCGCAGAUAUCGGGAAGAACACCCGUGGCGAAGGCGGUUCUCUGGGACGGUACUGACGCUGAGACGCGAAAGCGUGGGGAGCGAACAGG